GGAUGUGAGGGUAAUCUGGCUGAGACAUCUCUCACCCCGUUGAUCUCCAGGGUUCUUUCAGCUGAUCUGGCUGGCUAGGCAGGUGUCCCCUUCCUCCCUCACUGCUCCAUGUGUGUCCCUCCCAAAGCUGCAUUCAGUUGAAGAGGACAGCCUUCCUCUAGUAGAGAAGGACCGGUCUUCCAUUGAGGGUAUACUAGUAGCUAUGCUUCCAUGCUAGAACCUCCAAACAAGCUCUCAAGAAAGGAUCCUAAAGGCUGCAAGAGAGAAACAAAAAGUCACAUACAGGGGAAAACCCAU
rnacentral:snRNA from 1 species